UAGGGAAUCUUCCGCAAUGGACGCAAGUCUGACGGAGCAACGCCGCGUGAGUGAAGAAGGAUUUCGGUUCGUAAAACUCUGUUGUGAGAGAAGAACAGCGCAUAGAGUAACUGUUAUGCGUGUGACGGUAUCUAACCAGAAAGCCACGGCUAACUACGUGCCAGCAGCCGCGGUAAUACGUAGGUGGCAAGCGUUGUCCGGAUUUAUUGGGCGUAAAGCGAGCGCAGGCGGUCAAUUAAGUCUGAUGUGAAAGCCCCCGGCUCAACCGGGGAGGGUCAUUGGAAACUGGUUGACUUGAGUGCAGAAGAGGAGAGUGGACUUCCAUGUGUAGCGGUGAAAUGCGUAGAUAUAUGGAGGAACACCAGUGGCGAAGGCGACUCUCUGGUCUGUAACUGACGCUGAGGUUCGAAAGCGUGGGUAGCAAACAGG
rnacentral:rRNA from 1 species